ACUACCUCUUCAUAUAGGAGUAUCCUGAUACACUAAGCUAUGUUGCAGAUUGUUUGGUAUUCUCUUUAAUAGCUUUAUCAUUGAAUGAAAAAAUGAUGAUAGUAUAGAUUCGAGGAUGAAUCCUCUCGAAGAAAUGGGGAGGAUGAUGUGAUAAUAAGUGAAGGAAAAUUUGAAGUCAAUCAACAUGUUUGUAGAACGACAGAAAGGUAGAAACGACCAUGUAGUAAUAUAUUUCCUGAACAUAUUAGGAAGUACAUACGAACAAGGAGUGACACCGAAGAGUCUACUCC
rnacentral:lncRNA from 1 species